UACGUAGGGGGCAAGCGUUGUCCGGAUUUAUUGGGCGUAAAGAGCGUGUAGGCGGCCAUACAGGUCAGCUGUGAAAACUCGAGGCUCAACCUCGAGACGUCGGUUGAAACCGUAUGGCUAGAGUCCGGAAGAGGAGAGUGGAAUUCACGGUGUAGCGGUGAAAUGCGCAGAUAUCGGGAAGAACACCCGUGGCGAAGGCGGCUCUCUGGGACGGUCCUGACGCUGAGACGCGAAAGCGUGGGGAGCGAACAGG
rnacentral:rRNA from 1 species